rnacentral:tRNA from 1 species
GGGGUGGAGCAGCCCGGUAGCUCGUCAGGCUCAUAACCUGAAGGUCAUAGGUUCAAAUCCUAUCCCCGCAACCA